AUGCCUUAAACUAAUUAGUAAGGAAAACAAAGUGGGAGCUAAUAUAGUCUUGGUUUGGAAUUUUGAUACUUUAAAGU
rnacentral:snRNA from 1 species